GACGAACGCUGGCGGCGUGCUUAACACAUGCAAGUCGAGCGAGCGGCGGACGGGUGAGUAAUGUCUGGGAAACUGCCUGAUGGAGGGGGAUAACUACUGGAAACGGUAGCUAAUACCGCAUACCAUCAGAUGUGCCCAGAUGGGAUUAGCUAGUAGGUGGGGUAACGGCUCACCAAGGCGACGAUCCCUAGCUGGUCUGAGAGGAUGCCCAGCCACACUGGACCUGAGACACGGUCCAGACUCCUACGGGAGGCAGCAGUGGGAAAUAUUGCACAAUGGGCGCAAGCCUGAUGCAGCCAGGCCGCGUGUGUGAAGAAGGCCUUCGGGUUGUAAAGCACUUUCAGCGGGGAGGCGUUACCCGCAGAAGAAGCACCGGCUAACUCCGUGCCAGCAGCCGCGGUAAUUC
rnacentral:rRNA from 1 species